rnacentral:rRNA from 1 species
AUUGAACGCUGGCGGCAUGCCUUACACAUGCAAGUCGAACGGCAGCAUGAUCUAGCUUGCUAGAUUGAUGGCGAGUGGCGAACGGGUGAGUAAUACAUCGGAACGUGCCCUGUAGUGGGGGAUAGCUAGUCGAAAGAUUAGCUAAUACCGCAUACGACCUGAGGGUGAAAGUGGGGGACCGCAAGGCCUCAUGCUAUAGGAGCGGCCGAUGUCUGAUUAGCUAGUUGGUGAGGUAAAGGCUCACCAAGGCGACGAUCAGUAGCUGGUCUGAGAGGACGAUCAGCCACACUGGGACUGAGACACGGCCCAGACUCCUACGGGAGGCAGCAGUGGGGAAUUUUGGACAAUGGGCGAAAGCCUGAUCCAGCAAUGCCGCGUGUGUGAAGAAGGCCUUCGGGUUGUAAAGCACUUUUGUCCGGAAAGAAAUGGCUCUGGUUAAUACCUGGGGUCGAUGACGGUACCGGAAGAAUAAGGACCGGCUAACUACGUG